UACGGAGGGGACUAGCGUUGUUCGGAAUUACUGGGCGUAAAGCGCACGUAGGCGGAUUUGUAAGUCAGGGGUGAAAUCCCGGGGCUCAACCUCGGAACUGCCUUUGAUACUGCAAAUCUUGAGUCCGGAAGAGGUGAGUGGAAUUCCGUAGUGUAGAGGUGAAAUUCGUAGAUAUUAGGAAGAACACCAGUGGCGAAGGCGGCUCACUGGUCCGGUACUGACGCUGAGGUGCGAAAGCGCGGGGAGCAAACAGG
rnacentral:rRNA from 1 species